GGGGAAUAUUGCGCAAUGGGCGAAAGCCUGACGCAGCGACGCCGCGUGAGGGAUGAAGGUUUUCGGAUCGUAAACCUCUGUCAGAAGGGAAGAAACCGCACCGUGCUAAUCAGCGGUGCCUUGACGGUACCUUCAAAGGAAGCACCGGCUAACUCCGUGCCAGCAGCCGCGGUAAUACGGAGGGUGCAAGCGUUAAUCGGAAUUACUGGGCGUAAAGCGCACGUAGGCUGCUUUGUAAGUCAGGGGUGAAAUCCCACGGCUCAACCGUGGAACUGCCUUUGAUACUGCUUAGCUUGAAUCCGGGAGAGGGUGGCGGAAUUCCAGGUGUAGGAGUGAAAUCCGUAGAUAUCUGGAGGAACAUCAGUGGCGAAGGCAAUCCCCUGGGCCUGCACUGACGCUCAUGCACGAAAGCGUGGGGAGCAAACA
rnacentral:rRNA from 1 species